rnacentral:rRNA from 1 species
ACGAAGGGUGCAAGCGUUGUUCGGAUUUAUUGGGCGUAAAGCGCGCGCAGGCGGGUAGGUAAGUCAGGUGUGAAAUCUCGGGGCUCAACCCCGAAACUGCGCCUGAAACUGCUUAUCUAGAAUCUUGGAGAGGGAGGGAGAAUAUCGCAUGUAGGGGUAAAAUCCGUAGAGAUGCGAGGGAAGAGCGGAAGCGAAGGCGCCUUCCUGGACAAGUAUUGACGCUGAGGCGCGAGAGCGUGGGGAGGAAACAG